rnacentral:rRNA from 1 species
CGCGGCCUAUCAGCUUGUUGGCGGGGUAACGGCCCACCAAGGCGACGAUGGGUAGCCGGCCUGAGAGGGUGUUCGGCCACACUGGGACUGAGACACGGCCCAGACUCCUACGGGAGGCAGCAGUGAGGAAUAUUGCGCAAUGGGCGAAAGCCUGACGCAGCGACGCCGCGUGGACGAUGAAGGCCUUCGGGUUGUAAAGUCCUGUCAGGAGGGACGAAGCGGUUCAUCCCGUGACGGUACCUCCAGAGGAAGCCCCGGCUAACUACGUGCCAGCAGCCGCGGUAAGACGUAGGGGGCUAGCGUUGUCCGGAGUUACUGGGCGUAAAGAGCUCGUAGGCGGCCCGCUAAGUCGGGUGUGAAAGCCCCCGGCUCAACCGGGGAAUUGCACUCGAUACUGGCGGGCUAGAGUCUGGUAGAGGGAAGUGGAAUUCCCGGUGUAGCGGUGAAAUGCGCAGAUAUCGGGAGGAACACCGGUGGCGAAGGCGGCUUCCUGGGCCACGACUGACGCUGAGGAGCGAAAGCUAGGGGAGCGAACAGGAUUAGAUACCCUGGUAGUCCUAGCCGUAAACGAUGGGCACUAGGUGUAGGGGGCUAUCGACUCCCUCUGUGCCGAAGCUAACGCAUUAAGUGCCCCGCCUGGGGAGUACGG